AGAGUUUGAUCAUGGCUCAGAACGUACGCUGGCGGCACGCCUUAUACAUGCAAGUCGAACGAAGUAGAAAUACUUAGUGGCAGACGGGUGAGUAACAUGUGGGUAUCUUCCCUUUGGUGAGGAAUAACACGAGGAAACUUGUGCUAAUACCUCAUAAGUCUUUACGGAGAAAGCUUUAUGCGCCAAUGGAUGAGCCCGCACUUGAUUAGUUUGUUGGUGGGGUAAUGGCCUACCAAGACUUUGAUCAAUAGCUGAUCUGAGAGGAUGAUCAGCCACAUUGGGACUGAGACACGGCCCAAACUCCUACGGGAGGCAGCAGUAGGGAAUAUUGCACAAUGGAGGAAACUCUGAUGCAGCGAUGCCGCGUGAGUGAAGAAGGCCUUUGGGUUGUAAAGCUCUUUCGUCGGGGAAGAAAAUGACGGUACCCGAAUAAGAAGGUCCGGCUAACUUCGUGCCAGCAGCCGCGGUAAUACGAAGGGACCUAGCGUAGUUCGGAAUUACUGGGCUUAAAGAGUUCGUAGGUGGUUAAAAAAGUUGGUUGUGAAAUCCCGAAGCUUAACUUCGGAACUGCAAUCAAAACUUUUUAGCUAGAGUAUGAUAGAGGAAAGCAGAAUUUCUAGUGUAGAGGUGAAAUUCGUAGAUAUUAGAAAGAAUACCAAUUGCGAAGGCAGCUUUCUGGAUCAUUACUGACGCUGAGGAACGAAAGCAUGGGUAGCGAAGAGGAUUAGAUACCCUCGUAGUCCAUGCCGUAAACGAUGUGUGUUAGACGUUGGAAAUU
rnacentral:rRNA from 1 species